CGCCCGGCCCCCAGCGAAGCCCGGGCCCGCCCCAGCGCCCGUCUGGAUCCCGGAAUAACCGGUGAAGACGGCUCCCCGGAGCCCCCCGCCCCCCGCCGGCUCUCCCGGACCCCCAGCCCGCGCUAGUCUUUCCCAGGACGCCCCUCCCGCGCAAAGGAUCAAGUCCCAGCUUCCCUUUCCCCCUCCAGAGUCUCCAGCGCCAACUGCCGGCCCGCAGGCGGGUCCCUGACCCGCAGUUACUCAGCUACGUCUCUGGUGGAGGAGGUGUCAGCGACUUGAGAGUGAGUGCGCCAAAGAAGAGAGAGCCACGCCUGAGCCUCCUUCAACAAAGCCUGCACUUCCUGUUCUUUUCUCAAGCGUGCUGUCAGCAGAUCUUGACUGAAAACUCUGUGCCCUACCCUGUCCUUGGCACCAGACGCAGGGGAAGGGAUUAGGCCCAGUCCCUCCUCUGACUGACAGUGCUAAACCAGCUACCUGUUCUGAGCAAGGCCUUUGAAGACUGGGAACAUGGAUUUGCCCAACAGCUGCCUGGCUUAAGGGUUGGGCCGUUGAUAUAAAAAUACAUAGCUAACGUCACCUACUACCACUCCCCCGGCUCUAUUAAGCUCCUGUCACACUAGCCUUCAUUAAGGUCCUAAACACGUCAAACUCAGCCACCUCACGGCCUUUGUAACUGCUGUUGCUUCUGCCUGAAACACUCUCCCCUGCUCCAAAGUUCCUCAUGUAGCUGUUCUCUCAUUCUUGCAGAUACAGCUCAAUGUGUCUCCUUAGAAACUUUUACUCUGCCCACCCGUUCAAAAUCAGUCUGUGGCCAAAAUUGGACCAUACACCUGUCUGCCCCUCCCCCAAUAGAUAGUGAUUGCCACUCUUCAGGUCAGAGGCUGUGCCUCAUUCAUCUCUGUUACACAAGGACUCAGCCAUAGAGCCUGAACAUAGUAAGUGCUCUGUAAAAGCUGGAUAACAUGAGUUAAUUCACUUGAACACUCAGAUACUAAAAACUAACACUCAAUACCGGAAUAUUGGAAAAUUGACCAGAACAGUUGAACCCCGACCUAGGUUCUCCUAGACCUAUUCUCUGAGCCAGGGGUCUUAAAUUCAAAUGGCAAAGUGGGCAGGUAGGUAAUACAAUUAAGAAAAGUAUGUAGGAGGCCGGGUGUGGUGGCUCACACCUGUAAUCCCAGCACUUUGGGAGGCUGAGGCGGGUGGAUCACGAGGUCAGGAGAUCGAGACCAUCCUGGCUAACACGGUGAAACCCCGUCUCUACUAAAAAUACAAAAACAUUAGCUGGGCUUAGUGGCGGGCGCCUGUUGUCCCAGCCAUUCGGGAGGCUGAGGCAGGAGAAUGACGUGAACCCAGGAGGCGGAGCUUGCAGUGAAUCGAGAUCGUGCCACUCCAGUCUGAUGGACAGUAUAGACUCCAUCUCAAAAAAAAAGA
rnacentral:lncRNA from 1 species